rnacentral:lncRNA from 1 species
CUCCAACCGCCCCACAGCCUUCCCCGCGCCACAGAGGAAAAGCGCCUGGUGUCGCGAGCGGGUCCUGGCCUGUUGGCUUUCCUGGCAACCGUUGAGUGCGCGAUAUGCGUUGGGGCUGUCCCAACUGGGCUUGCAGGAAAGCGGGGCUCCUCUGUCUGUCAGGCGGUCCCCGGCUUGGCAGUCAGCAGCCUGACUGUAUUCAGCCUGCCACCAGGUGGGUCACCUGGUCAAGCCUCAAGGGCAGCCAGGGGCUCACCAAGUGAUCUGUUGAUUAAUGAUCAGAUUAGUGCGGUUAGGAGUCAACAGGAAGUCCCCUUGCAAACCAAUUAAUGAGUUAAUCAGCUAAUCCACCCCCUUCGUAGCCUGCCCUGUUAGUUAAUUACGCUUCCUCUGAAUCAGUCUCUCAGUAAGUUAAUCCCCGGUAAAGCACGCAGUCGUUGGUCCCACGGUUAUCCCAAGUGUAAGCCAGUUAAUCAGCUUCACUGUUAGUCUUCGGUUUUUCUAGAAAAUCAGCUUUCCAGUCAGCCUAAGUAAGUCAGUUGUCCAAAAGUGAGUCUUUUCCUCAGCAAGUCGGGAAAGCCCUUGGUACCCCUUAGGCUCUGCCGAGGAAGUACACAGUCGGGAGUGUACCGAGCACAAAGAAUAUCCUGGAGCCCUUGGAGCAAGAGCCAAGGGUAACAUGGACAGGAGCAAUGAUGGGCAAAGGGAAAUGUAAGGGGGAGAAAAGAAGAGAGGGUCCAUGAGGAGUCAUCCCGGGUCUUAACACCUGGCAGAGGAGAGCAGAAAGAAAUCAGAAUUUUAGAGUUGGACGGAUCACUACAUUUCCAAUCAUAAAACCCACUCAUGUUACACGUGAGGAGAUCAAAGGACAAGCAGAGAGGAGAAAAUAUUUGGCCAAGGUUACUCAGUGAUUUACUAGUCAAGCCUGGGGCAGGACUCUGACAGGGCUCAUUCCAACAUCCAAAAUGGGGUUUUAAAUCAGAAGCGGGGGAAUUGGCAGUGCAAAAAGGGAGCAGACGUGCCUUUCCUUCCUCUAGGUUUCGGCUCAGACGUCACUUCCUCAAAGAGGCCUUUUCUAACCACCCUACCUAAACUGUUUCCCCACUGUCCCCCAUCCCAUAACCCUCUAUCCUAUUAUCCUGCAUUAUGUUUCUUCUGUAGUACUUAAUAGCUCUCAAAUUAUCUUGACCGCCAACUUGUUUAUUGUCUGCCUUCCGUACUAGAAUGAGGACAGCGAUUGUCUCAUUGGUUACCGCCUUAUUCAUAAAACAGCGCCUGGCAUGAAGAGGUGCUCAACAGGUUGGUUGCUGGAGGGAAUGAAUGAGGGUGCCGUCAGUAGGGAAUGUGCUUCUUUUUUUUUUUUUUUUUAAAAGAUUUUAUUUAUUGACAGAGAGCCAGCCAGCGAGAGAGGGAACACAAGCAGGGGGAGUGGGAGAGGAAGAAGCAG